rnacentral:rRNA from 1 species
UACAGAGGGGGCCAGCGUUAUUCGGAAUUAUUGGGCGUAAAGGGCGCGUAGGCGGCCAUGCGUGUCUUCCGUGAAAUCCUUCGGCUUAACUGAGGACGUGCGGAAGAAACUGCAAGGCUUGAGUCCGGGAGAGGGGGUGGAAUUCCCAGUGUAGCGGUGAAAUGCGUAGAGAUCCGGAGGAACACCAGCGGCGAAGGCGGACAUCCGUGGACUGGUCCUGACACUCAGGAG